CUACGGGAGCACCUCCCUGCGUUAUAUCGUAGCUGAUCGCGUCGUUACGCACAUAACAUACCAGCCCCAAACGCGAUUCUUGUAUUCAUGCGUUCGCACAUUGUCUCGCAUCACCUGCGCUCACACGAUAUUCGGGAUUCCUGACUUAUAUUAUUUACACAGAUUCCCUCCUGUAUAGCACUCGCCAACAACAGAAACCAAUACCGAAAUUAUAAGAUAUAUAUCAAUACCAAAAAAACGCAAUGAGAACAAUUUAAACAUAAUAUUCGCAGAUGUAUGUCUCUACGCUAUUCAUACUAACAUGACACGCUUCAUACAAAUCUAAUACAUAUCUUAAUUAAUCUUAAGUAUAAGACACGCCUUGGAUAUAUAGACUUGCCAUGACUUUUCUUUUAAUUUCGUUCUAUUUUAUCGAUAUUGAAUAGAUUCAGUACUAUCAGGCACAAAUUACAGUGUUAUUCGAAAGCUUAAUAUUAACAAUUUGCUUUUCCUAUACAGAACUAUGAAAAAUAGAGUUACUAAGAAACGGACGAAAUGGAGAAAAUAUACGAUACAGACGAAAAUAAAGAGAAGAUGAAAGAGUUUUUCGUGCAGAUAACAUAAUAAGAACACUGCCUGACAGAACACUGCUUGUUUCGACAGUUUUUCAUUGCAUUAAUAGAUAAAGAUCAAAGAUACAAACGAGACCAAGGAAAAAUCAACAAGUUUCCUCACUUAUGGAAAUGGAAUCUUGACGACAUUCUCUGUUCAAAGGAGGGAAAAUAAAAGUUAUAAAUACAACUGAAGUAUUCAAAUAUAAAUGUGAGUUUUAUCAAAGAUAACUAAGAUUGGCUCACCAACAAAAUGACAUGAACCACACUUAUGUGAACAAAGACUUUAAAUAUAAAGAGAGACUGUUUUACUCAACUCGGUGACAUACGUACAUUGAUCCUGUAUGCAUGCAAACGGAUUAUAUUCAAAAGAUUUAACAUGGGUCGACCCAUCAAGAAUUAACUGUUUAUGUUAUUUUAAUAAUUGCAAACAGAUUCUUGAUUUCAAACCAAAGCAAUUGUGUUUAUUACUUUACAAUACAAAUCCUAUAUUUGAUGUCAUAGCAAGAUAAAUAUGAAAUAUAUUUUCAUUGAAAUAUAUUGCAUUAAUUUUCUUUCAAUCAUUCUAGUUUUAAACAUUUAUAUCUGUAACAGUGUAAUACUUUGGUGUAAAGGCAACGGCGAUCGACAUUUUUGUCAUAUCUAAAUUAUAUUAGUCGCUGUCCUGACGAAUUGUGAUGCAAAAUAUGUUAUGUAUAUAUAUUAUUUUAAUAUAUAUAUAUCACCUGAAAUAAAUUGAAGAUUCUAACAAAUUUUUUUUUACCAGUUUGUGGCAAAAACCUGAUAGUCUAUGUAUGGUUGUCAAUGCCGCCAUAACACAAAUCUUUUUAUUACUUCAUAUCUUCUUACCAACACUGCCUAUUCAACGUGAGAAAUCUUGUGACUAACCAGGCCGGCAUGGUUUUGUCUCAUCUUCAACGUCAACUUCUUCA